AUCAAGGAACAAUAUCUCAAAGAGAAACAGAUCAUUACUGAAAAGGACUUGCUAAUAGCAAAACUAGUGAAAGAAAAACAAGAGAGAAGGAAAGUGACUAGUUCCAUUGGACUACAAUUUAAUUACCUGAUCCCUUCAAUGGAUAAAUUGGAUUGUCUGAGU